UGCCAGCAGCCGCGGUAACACGAACCGUACGAACGUUAUUCGGAAUCACUGGGCUUAAAGAGUGCGUAGGCGGCCAGGCAAGUUGGGUGUGAAAUCCCUCGGCUCAACCGAGGAACUGCGCUCAAAACUGCUUGGCUUGAGGGAGACAGAGGUGAGCGGAACUAAUGGUGGAGCGGUGAAAUGCGUUGAUAUCAUUAGGAACACCGGUGGCGAAGGCGGCUCACUGGGUCUCUUCUGACGCUGAGGCACGAAAGCUAGGGGAGCGAACGGGAUUAGAUA
rnacentral:rRNA from 1 species